rnacentral:rRNA from 1 species
GAUGAACGCUAGCUGCAGGCUUAAUACAUGCAAGUCGAGGGGCAGCAUGAAUGUAGCAAUACAUUUGAUGGCGACCGGCAAACGGGUGCGGAACACGUACACAACCUUCCUAUAAGUGGGGAAUAGCCCAGAGAAAUUUGGAUUAAUACCCCGUAACAUAAUGAUGUGGCAUCACAUUAUUAUUAUAGCUACGGCGCUUAUUGAUGGGUGUGCGGCUGAUUAGAUAGUUGGCGGGGUAACGGCCCACCAAGUCUACGAUCAGGAGCGGAUGUGCGAGCAUGAUCAGGCACAUGGGCACUGAGUCACCGGCCCGAAUCGUAAGGAAGGCAGCAGUAAGAAAUACUGGUCAAUGGACGCAAGUCAGAACCAGCCAUGACGCGUGAACUAUGACGGUCCUCUGGAUAUUAGACUUCUUUUAUCGGGGACGAAAGAAGUACAUUCUUCGUCACUUGACGGUACCAGAUGAAUAAGCACCAGCUAACUCCGUGCCAGCCGCCGCAGUAAAAC